ACGGAUGUAGCCAAAUCGAUCAAGGCAUUGGAUUGUGAAUCCACCAUGUGCGGGUACAAUCCCCGUCGUUCGCC